GCCGAGCUGGAUAACGUCAGCUUGUGACCUGAGUGGGGGCAAUAAGGUGGUUGAACAAGGCUAUGGCUAGCUAAGCUGGUCUGGAGCCUGCAACUUGCUGGCUUGCCCACUCCAAGUUAGGAGUUGAGCCAUGGGAUCUUUGCGAAGGCUUGGAUUUCCUGGUUACUAGAUAUGAGGGCACAGCGUGAGGCUGGUUUCACAGAGCAGCGACAACCUCCGGCUCUUGACAGUGGAGGGAUAACAGGCUGCUGCACCUUCAGUCCUAAUCAAGCUUGGUGAGCCUUGCUCUUGAACUAUCACCUUU
rnacentral:SRP_RNA from 2 species